ACUCCGCAUACUUGUAUCUUUGAUCAUGAUAGAUAGAUUUUAAACAAGAAUUUUCAAUUAGAUGAAUUAAAUAACAGAAAAUAAGAUAGCUCUAUAAACCACUCCAACUAAGAAACAGCAACAAAUUCAUAUAAUAGCUUGACGCUGAAUCCAAUAAUUUUUUAUUUUUAGCUACUAGCCUGGGCAUCAUUUAGUUGUAAAUUCUUAAGCAUAGUUGCAGCCAUCCACGAGGACGUUCUUCAUUUCUUCAACAAAUUCUUGGAUUUGAUCCCUUGAAUGCAGUGGAGAAGGGUAAACACAGACACAAUCCAACUUUCCAUCCCUAAUGGUGUCAAAAAUAGCAAUGGAAGGUCCAAUCCCGUGAAUAGAUGCACAACCCAUGUAAUCCUCUAGCCCUAUUUGUUUGUGCUUCUCAUUAGAGUAUUCAACCACUGUGUCUUCAAACACAGUCAAUAAUGAUGUCCUGAGAGAAGAUGAAGGUGUCAAGCCAGGGUUUUCAAUCACCUUGCACAUCAGAUAGUUGAUAUCAGCCAUGUCUGUGAAGUGCUUGUUGCUGUUCUUGUAGCUUGCAAAUUCCACGUACACUUUCUUGCUAAGCUCCCAUAGCUUCUCUCCUCCUUUCAUUACGUGUGUGUUUAGUAUCACAGAUUGGUAAAACCCAAAAUGAUGAUCAGAAAGAGGUGGCUCAAGAAGGGAUCUGCUAUUAAUGAAAGUCAAAAUUCCAUACUUCCUCUGUUUAUCGAUAUGGCCUUUUGGGCUCUGCGCUGCUAUCAGUCCAGCUGCUCCCAAUACCCCACAUAGCUUUAUUCCUCUUGACUUGCAACCAGCAAUAAUCCUCUUAGUGUCAUCUUGGUUCAGGUGUAACCUCACCACCUGGGAAGAUCUUGGAGAUCUUGCAUCUUGGAAUUUCAAGUUUGUUAGUGUGAGUGAAUUCAUCGAGUAACCAAGCACGUCCAUCCCACGUUGCCACAAAGUCUUCUUAGCCUUUCCUUUAGGAAUAAGAUCUUCAAUUCCCAAGCUAAUCAUCCCUUUGUUCUCUUUUUCCAAUUGUAUACCUCCUCCCUCCUCAUUUCCCACCAAUUCCAGCAACUCCCUCAGGAGAGAAAUUGCUGAGGGUUGGUCACAUGCCGCCGCAAGCAGCCUAAAAACUACCACCCACUUUUCACUAGGCAGUGCAUAUGUGGUGACGACAAAAACAUUCUGACUAUGACUGGAGUGAUUAAUAAGCCAUGUGUUUUGCAGGUUAAGCUCAUGUUCGAGGAUCAACUGGAAAGGAGAGAUGGAUUGGCCUUUUGGGUUGAUAACAUUUUCAAGAAUCUUCAAAGUUGAUGAGAGAUCGAAAGCUUUCACUUUAAAGUCCAAAGGAGUAGGAGAUGUGAUGAAGGAGAAUCUGGUUGUGCUAGUAGUAGUGUUGGAAUGAAGCUUGGACCUGAGAAUUGGAUGAGCAUUUUGGAGCUUUCUGAGAGCGUUCUCAAGGAGUGAAGGGUCUGGAAACUUAGAGAUGAGAAUGGCCAAGACCGUUAUGCCAGUGCCACCGGGCACGGCCAGGCACCAGUUGUGCUCGCUGCUACCCAAUAAUCGGCCUUGUGACUCAACCAUCUCCGGAAGUUUCUUCUGGAUAGACAUUUCACUAUACUGCUAGCAACAAUAAAUUAAAGAAGUGUAUUGCUUCUUCAAUAGCCAACUCAUGGAAGUUACUUUUAUAGUGCAG
rnacentral:misc_RNA from 1 species